GAUGAAGAACGUAGCGAAAUGCGAUAAGUAAUGUGAAUUGCAGAAUUCAGUGAAUCAUCGAAUCUUUGAACGCACAUUGCGCCCUUUGGUAUUCCGAAGGGCAUGCCUGUUCGAGCGUCAUUUCACCACUCAAGCCUGGCUUGGUAUUGGGCGCCGCGGUCGAUCCGCGCGCCUCAAAGUCUCCGGCUGAGCUGUCCGUCUCUAAGCGUUGUGAUUUCAUUAAUCGCUUCGGAGUGCGGGCGGCCGCGGCCGUUAAAUCUUUCACAAGGUUGACCUCGGAUCAGGUAGGGAUACCCGCUGAACUUAAGCAUAUCAAUAAGCGGAGA
rnacentral:misc_RNA from 1 species